GGCUAUUAUGCAAAAGAAGAUUCUAAUGAAAGGAUGUUGGUCUAUGAACGGCUUUAUCAUGGAAGCUUAGAUAAGCUACUCUUUGGAAGAUCAGAUGGUCGUUUCAUGGACUGGUCUAAACGUUUGAAGGUUGCCCUAGGUGCUGCCAGAGGUCUAGCUUUCUUGCAUGAUGAAGGACCCUUUCAGGUGAGCAUGCUACUUGAUUUAUGGUCUUAUGGCAUCACACAAAAGGCCAUGUACAACGAGUUCUCAACUUGAACAUCCAAAUAGAUAAAGGUUUCACUGCUAAGCUUUCAGGAUAUGGUUGUGUUGGCUUCAAUACCGAGGAGAUAUCUAAUGCACCUGUGUCUGCAGCAAACCUUUCGGUGGAGACCUUGGAGAAGGGUUUACUCACUCCCAAGAGCAAUGUCUGGAGCUUUGGAGUCGUGUUACUGGAGCUAAUAACUAGAAGGAAGAACCUUGAUCCCAAUUAUUCCAAAGAAGAACACAAUAUUUUUAGCUGGAGUAGGCCUUUCCUUACUGAUGACAGUCACCUAUGUCUUAUCAUGGACUCCCGUAUAAAAGGGCGCUUUCCCAUUAAGGCUGCUCGGAUAGUAGCAGACAUCAUUUUGAAAUGCCUGCGUAAGGAUCCAUCGGAGAGGCCUACCAUGAGGGAUGUUGUGGAGGCCCUAGCAAGAGUCCAGGAAAUAAAGGUUCCGUGUAGAUAUCCUCUGCAAGAACCUUUUUUGUGCUCGAAUUGGGUGGAAGCAGCGUGCCGAGUGGGCCUUGUAACCUCAUAACGCAAUAAACUCGUUUCCCAGUUUCUGUUCACCCCUGCCCGUACGUAUUCUAGUGGCCAUUGCACUGCUGUUGCACCUGUGAAUUUGAACUUUUGCAUGUAUUUAUCCAUAACAUCUGAUUACUGAAUCAUCCAUGCUUAGGCCUUUGCCUUCAGUUUGUCUAUUGCUGCAACAAGUCGGGGCUGGAUCGUUCCAAAGUAAAUGUAAAUGGAGGCGCGAUUGCCCUUGGACACCCUCUGGGUGCAACAGGUGCCCGGUUGCAUGGCUACUCUUCUGAAUGAAAUGAAUCACCGGGGCAGAGACUGGAGAUUUGGUGUUGUCACCAUGUGUAUCGGUUAGUCUUACUUAUCAGUUAUCACAUACUAA